rnacentral:rRNA from 1 species
GCUUAACGCGAAGAACCUUACCACCUUUUGACAUGCCCUGACCGCCGGAGAGAUCCGGUUUUCCCUUCGGGGACAGGGACACAGGUGCUGCAUGGCUGUCGUCAGCUCGUGUCGUGAGAUGUUGGGUUAAGUCCCGCAACGAGCGCAACCCUCGCCAUUAGUUGCCAUCAUUAAGUUGGGCACUCUAAUGGGACCGCCGGUGGUAAGCCGGAGGAAGGUGGGGAUGACGUCAAGUCCUCAUGGCCCUUACAGGGUGGGCUACACACGUGCUACAAUGGCGACUACAGAGGGCUGCAACCCUGCGAAGGUGAGCUAAUCCCUAAAAGUCGUCUCAGUUCGGAUUGCACUCUGCAACUCGAGUGCAUGAAGUCGGAAUCGCUAGUAAUCGUGGAUCAGCAUGCCACGGUGAAUACGUUCCCGGGUCUUGUACACACCG